rnacentral:tmRNA from 1 species
GGGGGCGAUCUGGUUUCGACGGGGAUAGAUGAAACAAUGGUUGCAUGCCGAGGUUCCAUCGGCCUCGUAAAAAAGGUGGAAAAACUUUAAUUGCCGAUAAUGAAUUGGCUCUAGCUGCGUAAUUAACGACGGCUACGUUCUUCCUUUCCUCGCCUGCGGGUUAGGAAAGAGCGACGAUUAGCAGGAUAUACCAGUUGACUUUUGCUCAAAGAGUCAAUAGGUGAAACUUUAUUUGAGCUAGUUUCCCGGGAAUCCUGCCUGUGGGAAUCUCAGUAAGCGAAAUUUAAACACAGGAAAAGCAUGUAGUAGCUUUUGUGGAUGUAUCAACGGACGCGGGUUCGAUUCCCGCCGCCUCCACCA